AAUCAACGCUGGCGGCGUGCCUCAGACAUGCAAGUCGAACGAUUAAAGCUCUCUUCGGAGAGUGCAUAGAGUGGCGCACGGGUGAGUAACACGUAAGUAAUCUACCUUCGAGUGGGGAAUACCGUCCGGAAACGGACGCUAAUACCGCAUAAUGCAGCGGCAUCGCAAGAUGACAGUUGUUAAAGAUUUAUCGCUUGAAGAGGAGCUUGCGGCAGAUUAGCUAGUUGGUAAGGUAAUGGCUUACCAAGGCUACGAUCUGUAACCGGUCUAAGAGGACGGUCGGUCACACUGACACUGAAUAACGGGUCAGACUCCUACGGGAGGCAGCAGUCGGGAAUUUUGGGCAAUGGGCGAAAGCCUGACCCAGCAACGCCGCGUGAAGGAUGAAGUAUUUCGGUAUGU
rnacentral:rRNA from 1 species